UACGUAGGGUGCAAGCGUUAAUCGGAAUUACUGGGCGUAAAGCGUGCGCAGGCGGUUCGGAAAGAAAGGUGUGAAAUCCCAGGGCUUAACCUUGGAACUGCACUUUUAACUACCGGGCUAGAGUACGUCAGAGGGGGGUAGAAUUCCACGUGUAGCAGUGAAAUGCGUAGAGAUGUGGAGGAAUACCGAUGGCGAAGGCAGCCCCCUGGGAUGAUACUGACGCUCAUGCACGAAAGCGUGGGGAGCAAACAGGAUUAGAUACCCUGGUAGUCCACGCCCUAAACGAUGUCAACUAGCUGUUGGGGUUUAUUAACCUUAGUAGCGCAGCUAACGCGUGAAGUUGACCGCCUGGGGAGUACGGUCGCAAGAUUAAA
rnacentral:rRNA from 1 species